CUGGGACAUUUGGAGUUACAGCAUUUGUCUUCCCAGGACAUGGUGACACUGUGCCGGUCUCCUGGAGAUGGCUGAACACCUGCCUGCCCUUGGGAAGCAGGCAAUUAAUUCCUUGAUUUGCUUUGCUUGUCUGUGCAGCCUUUGCUUUCCCUAUUACACUGCCUUUAUCUCAAUCCACGAAUUUUCCAGGUUUUACCCUUCUGAUCCUCUCCCCAGUCCACUGGUGGGGAGUGAGUGAGUGGCUGCCUGGGUCAGGCUGCUGGCUGUGGUUAAACCAGGACAGAAGCAGAAGUGCCAGUGUCCUCUUAGUGUUGAAGUCGGGCUGGGGAUGGUCGGUGGGAUGGGGAAGAAGCACAGCAAAUACUGCCUCGAAAGAGGGUUGAGGAUUAAAUCCAUUUGAGAUUAAGUUUUAUACUGAAACCCUUUGGAAAUGCAAGUUUCAGGGACAGUAUCAACUGUUCCCUCCCAAUCAGGAAGUUAACCUUGAAAAUAAAGUGAGUGGCCUGUGUUGCCUAUUGCUGAUGCCUGAUUUGAAAGGCAUGUGAAAGUACCAAGUCAGAGUCACUGUUCAGGUCAUGAAGAGAGAACCACCUCCAGGAAUGAGGCCAAGGUGGUACUGCCUGUGUUCCAGUGAAAACAUGCAUUUCUGCAUUAAUCCACGCAGAAAUCUGAAAUACUGGCCUGAAGAGUUUUGCUGCAUAUUUUGUUGGAACAGUAUUAACAGUAUGAAGCAGUAAAGUGGAGCACUGCAAGAAGAAAGAAACCACAAAUGCAAUCUCGGCAAGCAAUUCUCCACUUAAAUACAUUCAAGAAGGGUUUUGAAUCAGGCCUGAGUAAAAGCAAACAAAGAAACAUUGCUGGAUUUAUCCUGUUUGUUACUAUGUCUUGCAAAUACGAAUGCCCAAAUACUUCCUUAGCAACUUUAAACAGAACCAGUUGAUGUGAAACAACACAAGUGGGUGAGGCAAAAGGGAUCACUGUAUGAAGGAGUCCCAAAAUGGUGUUAUUCUCAUGGUGAUUCCAACCUCAAGCCCUUUGCUUAAAGUUAGAAACCAGUGUGGCUGGAUUGCUGUAACCUCUUGCUACCCUGCAAAUCUGUAAAUCUGGUGUCCUCCACUUGCAGCUGUAGUAUUUCCUUAUUUGCCCUAACUGUGCUAUUCAGGUGACUUUGUAGUAAACAAAAUCAGCUUUCAGAGACCUGAAACUGAAAGUAUUGGUAUGAGCAAAGUACGGGUGGAAGUGGCUGUGUAUAAGCACCAGAAGAAACAGCAGAGCAAAGGUUAAAAUAAUGGCCUGUGCUGAAUAACCAAAACCAGAGCUUCAGGCAGUAAAAUCAAGAAAUGAAUUGUUUUUCUCAAAGUGGAAGUUUUGCGUUCUGCAGCAUAGACAACUUGUCACCAGAAAAUCCUACCACCUGACAUGCUGGACAGGAGGAUACAGCACAUCACAAAUGACAUUUAUUUCCUGUUGGUUCAACUGGGAGCAGACCGCAGAACGUGGAAACACAGAAAACGACCAAAGAAGUUCCAUGAAGUGCAUGCAGGCAGCAGUAGCCAGACUGUGAAGCACAAGGAUGCCACCACAGUCAGUGCUGGGUCCCACAAGCUUUCUCUGUGUGAAGUAGAGGCUAUUCCUGCUCUAAAGUCGGGGCAGCCCAGCUACCUUGGUGGCUCUGAGGCAUCAGCAGUUCUUCCCUUCAGGGCAUAAAUAAAGUAUGCAGAAACACCCUGGGAAUGAUGCUGUCAAACCGGCUUCCCCUCUUUUUUUCUGGCAUGUGACCUGUUCAGUUUCUCUUACCCCCCAUUCUGCUUCUUGAAAGGCCUCCUUCAGGUCUCAGCUUUGGCUCACCUUACAAGUUACUAUUCUCUGUCCCAUGUCCAACUCUUUUUUCUUGCCUUGGAUUCCCCAGACUGCUUCAAAUAGCAUUUUGCAGAAUGUGCUGGCACCACUGUCUUCAUGUUCCCUCCCCUCCCCAUCUCUUACACAGCCCUCCACCAGUUCAGUACUGUUUGCUUACUUAGCUAACGAUAUAAAAUUUGCCUGAGGCUUUCCAGAUAAUUUUGAAGCUUCAUUGUUCUGAGGAAACUGUUAAGAUAUGUGAUAAAAGUUCAGCUGGUGGGCUCCCUUCUCACCUGACAUGCCUGCCCCACACACAUCCAGUAACUGCAGUCAGUUCAGACUGUCUGAUCCCCAGCACAGGCACUGGAAGGAGACACAAUCUUCACUGCAAAUUGUAACUGUGACUCUGCUCAGGUCACUUGCUGGAGUGGGUCAGGCUGUGGGGCUGGCUGGGCAGGGACGUGCUUCCCAGGAACCUGUCCAGAGAGGAGGAAAAGGAGCAUGAGCCAAAAUGGGGAAAAGGCAAUGUGAAUUGUACGAGAAGGGAUGAAAUUAUUAUGGGAAAUUUAGGGGAGGAACAAAUGUGGGAAAAUAAGGGGAUAGUCAGCGACUGGAGUGAGUGCAGAGGUGUGAGUAGGUGAUGGACCAGCUGGUGCAAAGGUGAAGGCCUGGGAUUUGGGGCAAGUGCAUCUCCAGGGACCAGCUCAGGAUGUGAGGGGACCAGUUUGUCUCGAGGGGCUAAACCACGGGGAGAUCAGUUAUGGGACCUGGCAUGCCUCUGUGUGACAGUCUGUCCUGGCAACUGGAGUGUGGCUGUGCCUUGUGCGUCCCUCUGAGUGACCAGAGCGUGGGACAGCUCAGUGUGGGACUGGGGCCAUGUGCUGGGGAAGCUGCAUCUUAUAAGGGACCUGAGACACUCUUAGUUUUCUUAGGCAGAGGACAGCCCAGCAGCUGGAAUUACAGGAGAGGAAGGGAGGACAGAAGGAGAAAGAUGUACCUGGAAUGGCAAACUGUCCCAGCAGUGCCAAGAAGGAGAUCUGUGGUGAGUCCUCUGGGCUGUCUCCCCUCUUGUCUGUCCCAGGACACUCCCUGCCCCUCCACUGCCACCCUGCUGCCUCUUUCCCACAGCACUGCAAUUUUUUUAUUUUGGCUCCCUUGUAUCUCCAUUGUCCAUCUGGUUCUGAGCAGUUCCCUGACCCUGUAUUUGCCCUAUAGACCAUGGUUUAUUCUUCCUUUGCUGCCUCUGGCUCCCAAGCAAUAUUUUGGAAUUCUUCCCUCUCUGUCCUGGAGCUUGUCAGUGUUUCUCCCAUCUCCAUGUCUCUGUCUGGAGGCUUGUCCCUGUUCAAGGUUUUCCUGCUUGGCUCUGUAGCAUGGAGUGGGUCUUUCUCCAUCUCUGCUCUGCUCCCUUGUCCCUCAUUUUGAAAUCCUUGCUCUCUGUCCUGUACUGGGAUGUGUUCUUUCUCCAUACUUUUUAUUUCUGGCUCCCUAUUUAUCAAUUACUUCUUCCUUCAUCUCUCAGUUUGGUGCUGGAUCACAACUUUUAAUUCCUCCUUUCCUUCCCUGAGGCCCACCUUUCUUUCUCCUGCUCUGCUUGGGCUCCCUGUCCCUGUUUUAAUUCCUCAUUCCCUAGCUGGUGCUGUUCUUCCUGUGCAGGUGGUGCUAUGUUAGGUCUUUAUCUUUUCAUUCCUUACUCUCCCUCUGUUAGCCCAUUGCUAUAGUAUUAUUUUGCCAUCUUUAUAUUCAGCUCCAUAUCCCUUGUUUUUUCCUUCUCCUCUCUCUGUGCCUUGUUGCCCCUGGCUGGUUUUAAUUUCUCCAUCUCUCUCUGCCUGGCUCCAGCCCCAGCUCCCUGUUUUUUCAUUCCUUCCUCUCUGUCUUGUAGCCCAUCAGUAUUUUUAAUUUCUCUGACUCUCUUUGUCCUGCUCCCUGUGAUUCAGUUUCUUCCUUUCCAGCCCUGUGGACGGUGUGAUUCUGUUUCCUCCUCUGCCUCUCCUUUUCUAUUUCCCCGUCCCUUGCUUUGAAUCUCACGCACCUCCUGCAUCUUAUUGCUUCCCAUCCCUGUGUUUCAGUUCCUCCCUUCCUGCUGCACAGUCUGUUGCUUUUUCCUUUUUUUCAUCUCUCUCCAUCCAUCUUGUGUGCCCACUUUUCAUUCCUUUCUCUCUGCUGCUGUUUUUUGGCCUUUUCCAUCUGUUUGUCCAGCUGCCUGUCCCUAUUGGUUCAUUCUGCCCUUCUCCUCAUUGUCAGAGACUGAAAUAUUAUAGUUUAUGAAAUAAACAUUUUCAUGAAAGACUUUUGCCUAUUUUAGCAAAGCUGUAUUAUGAAAGGUACAGAGAUGCUCACCACACCCUGAACGAGGCUCUAAGAGGCACAUCAGACCUCUGCUGAUGAAGAUAAGAUAAAUUACAGCUCAGGCCUGGGGACAUUCCUGAAGGAAAAGCCUAACACCUUCAGGGUGGAGCCCACAGCCCCAGGGCUCCAGCAGGCACCAAAGGGAGGGGGGAAAAGGCUUUGGGUGGGUGUUGGAAAGAGGUGCAGAGACCACCCAUGCAGACUGCCCAUCCUCUGGUGUGCCCUUCCCCCGGGAAAAGCUCAGAGGGAGAGGAGCAAUGAGACAUCGCUGUGUGGUAAAGAGGUGGGACCACCUUUGGAGUUCUGUGCCCAGUUUUGGGCUCCCCAGGGUAAGAAGGGUAACAUCACACUGGCACAAGAGCGAUGGGAGACCACCAAGCUGUCUGAAGCUCUGGCAUGUGACAAGUGAGGAAAGGCUGAAAGAGCUCAGUGUGACCAGCCUGGAACAGACAAGGUGAAGGCGAGCCCUUAACUGUGUGUUCUACUGUGAAAAGCAUGGAGGAAGAAAAUGGUUACCCAGAAGAAGGAUCCAGACUCUCAAGAUGCACAAGGAAAGGAUAAGAAGCAACAGACACCAAACAAAAGAUCUUCCAAUUAGCUAUGAGGUAAAAAACUCUUCCCACUGAGGAUGGAGAUGCAGCACCAUUUUUACCAGUGGCUCAUUCUCCUGGGUAAUCUUUGCAAGCAUUACCUAAAAUUGUACCAGUUGUUGGCACAAGCCUGAAUUCACAAGAGUUGAUAGUACAGUGAGGACAGCAUGGUGAGUCUCUUGAGCCCCUUGGUCUUUCCAGUAAUCCUCCUUGCUGCGAUGUAGUGGGAUGCUGAAAUUCAGCAGGAGUUGCUUGCAGCUCUUUGGGAAAGAUUACUGUGAUUUAGAGCCUGUGGAGAAAGGUAAUAGUAGAGGAAAAUAAUAAGAGUGUAAAGAGAAGGAUAAAUGAAGGUAAUGAAAAUGAAGCAAAACUCCAACACAAAGUAAAUGUUUAGAUUAUUAGUAAAAAAUCCACUAAAUUUCCAGUCAUAAGGGAUGGAAGCUGAAUGAAGAAAUAAACUGUCAGGAGCAAUAGGGAAGGCUGGGCUGUUCUCUGCUUAAAAUCAGACCCACCACAUAUCAUGCUGCCAGUGCAAAGCACUUGGAUCUUCCUAUUCUCCUUGCCCACUCUCAGGACCAAGUGUCUCACACAGCUGUGGUACCAGCCUGGAGCUUUUCUCCUCUGUGAUGCUUCUGGGCCCAGGAGUCCCAAGAGCAGGAACAAAACUGAAGAGAGCUGGAAGGCAGAAGACCAGUGGGUGUCAAUGCCUCAGAAAGGCAAAGGCUAAAAGGCUGCUCAGAAAUCAGAGGACAAAUAGGUGAUGAUGACAUGGUAAAAAAGAUAUUAUGUCCUGGCUGCCCAGCUGCUUCUGGGGCCCUGGGAGAACAACCCAUUUGAGAGACACAGAAUGUGCUGGGCUGGAAGGGACUUAUCAGGAUCAUGGAUUCUGACUCCUGGCCCUGCACAGGUCACCCCAGCAAUCCCACCCUGUGCCUGAGAGCAUUGUCCAAACACUCCUGGAGCUCUGGUACCCUUGAGGCUGUGACCAUUCCCUGGGGAGCCUUUUCCAGUGCCCAUUCAUGCUCUGGGGGAAGAACCUUUUCCUGAUAUCCAGUCUGACCCUCCCUGACCCAGCUCCAGCCAUUCCCUUGGGUCUUGUCACAGGAGUGAGGAGAUCAAUAUCCGUGCCCCUGCUGCUCCUCAGGAGGAUGUUGAAGACCAUGAUGAGGUCUCCCCUUGUCUCCUCCAGGCUGACAAUCUGCUGGUGAGUUUGUAACCACUAGAUGGAACUCGAACACUUUGCAUUAAUUCACUGAUCAUCCACAGGGAGUUCAUCCUGAUUUUAGAGUGGCACAAAAGCCUCUGAUGACUUGAUGGAGAGCACUGGGAUUCAUCAUUCCUUGGACAGACCACCAGCACAUGAUUUUGGAUUUUGAUGGCAGACACUUCCACCAGUGAAGCACAGGGAUUCAGAAUUGUGCAUGUUUUUACCCACUCUGCUGGUGAGAGAUUUGGAAUGACAAAGUGAGAGAAUCCAAUCCCUUAUCUUGGUUACAAAGAAGUGAUAGAGUUUUCAUCAAAUAUAAUAAAUGGAAUUGUAUCAGUGAAAUUACACCUGAUUGGUGGGAGGAAUGAUAAGGAGGACUCCCUGGUAUCAGAAAGCUAAUUAAUUACUUUAUUAUGCUAUAUUAUUCUAUACUGUAUUACACUACAUCUAAACUGAAACUGCACAGGCACUCAACUGAACAGAAUCUCAUGACUGUCUGCUGACUGACAGUCUGGACAUGCCAAAGAAACAAAACACCCUCACUUUGGGUAAACAAUCUUCACAUUGCAUUCUACUCUGGCACAACACAGGAGCAGCAAAUGAGAUCAGAAUUGUUUUGAUCAUUCUUUUCUCUGCUUCUCUCACUGCUUCUCUCAGGUUCAAUGAAUGUGAAUCCCACAAAACUGAGCAUUCAUCUCCCAAAAGGAUCACACAUCAUCUGAGCAAAUAAGCUGAGCAUGUGAAAUCUUUUACUGAUGAACUUCAUUUUCAAUACUGGAUGAUCAGGCUGGGGGGGAAUUGUGUGUCGGUUUUUCUUGUGUUUGGUUUGGGUUUUUUUUGUUUAUUAUUAUUAAUUAUCAUUAUUAUUGAAUGCAUCAUGUCAUCAGCAUCAGAAAAUGGCUUAAGCAGCAGUACCCCUAAAGUCCAACCAUGAAAUUGAGAGGCAGUAGAUUUACUUGCACAAAUACUGUCACCUGAAGACACACAUUUACUGUCCAGAGAGGAACCAAAGGUAAAGUACAGCCUUGGUAGAAAGUUCCUUUGACGUUGGAAUUCGUUCCCUUUCACACACUGUGACAUGCCAGUUUUGGCUAUUGCAGAGUGUGAUGCAAGAUGCCACAGUUUGCUGUGGCUUCCUCUUCAUCUGGGCAGAUAGCCAGGAUCUCUCUUGUAGAUGGAAGCAGAACCCACUGGCCACGUGAGCUGGACCCACAGAGGACCAAAACAUCUGGAAGUGUUUGACCUUUGCAUCCUUCACCCAGGUGUGCAAGGCAGAUGAUGGAGCUCAGAGCACUCCUGCUGAUGGAGGAUGGUGCUCUUGGCAAUGGCCAGAGGGUGGUAGCACUGCACAGCUCCUACUGCUCUAUCCUCCUCAAACUACAGUAAAACAUAGCUGCAUUUCUUCAUUUCUUGUGAGAAAAAGAAGAAAGAAAGAGGUGAAACAAAGGUAAUGAUGCUCUGUGGAGGGCUCUGAGAUCUCCAGCUGCUGUGGAAGAGACAAUAGUGUGAUUACAAUUUUCCAGGCACUUUGUGACCACUGCAAUCUGCACUUAGUUCAGGCCCUGGCAUCUGGAAGUAUCUUCCACAAGCAGCUAAAGCCUUCCUUUCUCCUGGUAACAAAGGUCUCUGUGCCAUAAUCCUCUGACACAGAGGAGUCUCCCUGGCUGUGAGGAUAACAGGCAAGGAAACUAAAUUUCCAUCCAGUCAAGGUCCAGCCUAUCCAGCCCCUCUGAUCACCCUCUCUCUGCCCCCCUGAAAUCGCUGCUAAGACCUCUUCUGAACAAAAAUCCUGGUCCUCAUCACAACUGCCUUUUCCAGCCUCACCAGUUGCUUUGCUCUUCCCUUCCUCUACAGCUGACAGGACUGGAGUUCAGGCUGCCCUCCCUGCUUCUCCUUCCUGGGUGCCCUCGGCCUGCCUUGAUGGGUACAACCCAAGACGGAGCCUUCGCCUUCCUGGGCAGCGGCUGCAGGGACAGCUCUGGUGGGAAGGGGCAGUGAACCACAUGC